CUAAUAUCGGUACAAAUUUUUUUUUUUUGUCUUACCCGUUGGCUUUUGGGUAUACUAUUUAGCCAUGGAGAAUAGUUGCAACUUGUAGGGUUUUUAAAGGUGAGUUUUUAAAAUUUCAUUCAUAUGAAUUUCAAGACCUAGAAAAUUGAUAGAAUUUUUAUUUAUUCCUAUGGUGUCAUUUAAAAAUAGUUUUAGACUCGUUUUGGAAACUUUUAAAAUAAAAAAAGAGAUCGUCAAUGUACCUUCAGUAGUGGACCAGGUUCGCAACCCAGCAGUGUCCGCUCAAUCUAUCUAUCUGCCAUAGAAACAUUGGCAUAGCUGGGAGCCAACCUGGUCCCCACGGCUGUGCCUAAUUUUUGUAGAUAC